CAGGAGACCAAAUUGGGGGGCAGGAGGUGAAGCUGGGGGGCAGGAGGCCAUGUUGGGGGGGUGGAGGCCACGUUGGGGUGCCAUGCAAGAGGCCUCGCCGCAUUUCCGUCACGGCCUUGACCACCCACGGCGAGGGAGGACCUGAAAUGUCCAAUCAGCGAGGGAGGACCUGAAAUGUCCAAUCAGGAUGAGGGAGGACCCGAGAUGUCCAAUAAGGACGAGGGAGGACCCGAGAUGUCCAAUCAGGACGAGGGAGGACCCGAGGCGUCCAGUCAUGACGAGAAGCAAACAACCAAUAGGAGCCCCAGGAGCAACGUGGCGGCGCCGGCGGCGCAGCCGGCCACCAAUGGGAUGAGCUGAGACCGGGCUGGUUGAGAGAAGAGAGACCGCCAAAAAAAAAAAAAAAAUAAGGUGAAUUGGCCGGUGGCGACGGUGGCUUUGGCCUCGGGGAUGUUGAAGAGCGAGCGGUCCUUCGUGGCCGUCUCCGAAAAUUGCUCGGCGCCGUCUUUGUAGAAGAAAAAUUUCCGUUGGGCGGCGGGGCCGUUGGCCACGCAGGUGAAAGUCAUCACCGCGGAAAGACGGAGCUCGUCCUCACGAGAAGAUGAAGUUCAUCGUCGCGAGGCGAAACGCUUUGUCGCCAAAAGACGGAGCUCGUCGUCGCGAGGCGAUGAAAAGCAUCACCGCGAGGGGAUGAAAUUCAUCUUCACAAGGUGGAACUCAUCAUCAUGAGAAAAUAAAACUCAUGAGAAGAUGCAACUCCUCGUCACGAGAAGAUGAAAUUCAUCAUCACGAGAAGAUGAAACUCAUGCGAUGAGAAGAUGCAGCUCAUCGUCACGAGAAGAUGAACUUCAUCGUCACGAGAUGAAACUCCUCGUCACGAGAAGAAGAAACUCCUCGUCACAAGAAGAUGAAAUUCAUCGUCAUGAGAAGAUUAAACUCUUGAGAAGAUGCAGCUCAUCAUCAUCAUGAGAUGAAACUCAUUCUCAUGAGAAGAUGAAACUCAUCGUCACGAGAAGAUGAAACUCAUUCUCAUGAGAAGAUGAAACUCCUCAUCAAAAGAAGAUGAAACUCAUGAGAAGUUGCAGCUCAUCAUCAUGAGAAGAUGAAAUUCAUCGUCACGAGAAGAUGAGACUCAUCGUCACGAGAAGAUGAAACUCCUCAUCAAAAGAAGAUGAAACUCAUGAGAAGUUGCAGCUCAUCAUCAUGAGAAGAUGAAAUUCAUCGUCACGAGAAGAUGAGACUCAUCGUCACGAGAAGAUGAAACUCCUCAUCAAAAGAAGAUGAAACUCAUGAGAAGUUGCAGCUCAUCAUCAUGAGAAGAUGAAAUUCAUCGUCACGAGAAGAUGAGACUCAUCGUCACGAGGAGAUGACUCUCAUCGUCGUGAGAAAACAAAACUCGUCGUAAGAAAAUGAAACUCCUCGUCGUGAGAAAAUGAAACUCCUCGUCACAAGGAGAAGAAAUUCAUCGUCAUGAGAUGAAACUCAUCAGCGUGAGAAGAUGAAUCUCAUCGUCGUGAGCCUCCCGAACUCAUCCGCCACCUCAUUUUGGCGAGCCUGCGGGUCCACCAAGACCUCGGAGCUCAGGAACAGCUUUUGAGGGUGGGGGUCGGCCAUUUCAGAAGACCCAGAGGCUGCGUCUAAGCGAUUUCGGUUGUCCUCCGUGGGAGAGGGACGAAAACCGGCUGGUUUCAACCAUUUUUCCGCUACUGUUUUCCCCAAUUUUGGAAUCUUUGGCCUGAAUUUGAGGGUACAUUUCUGAAGACCCCCACCCCUCGCUGGGAGACCCCAGGGCGGACCUACCCUUCACGGUAACGUCCACCGCUUCGCUUCGGGGUGACGGCACCCACGUCCCGCCCACCUCCUCCUCCACCUCGCAGCUGAAUUUCCCGCUGAAGCUCCUGGGGCUUUGCGGGAAGAGGAGCUCGGAGGAAUUCCCAGUGUUCCUGGUUUUUGAGCCCGCUUGGCCUGGUGGGAUCUUCACCCCGUUCCUGUAGAAGCCAAACCUCAACCUGAAGUCAUCUCUGGAGGCGACGCAGGCUGGAUUCAUCCCCAAAACCGUGCCGCUACCUUUCACGAGGACUUCCACGGCUUGGCUGGGGUAGGACGGGAUCCAGCGCCCUUCGGUUUUCUCGUCGUAACCGCAGAAAUGAAACCUCCGCUCUGCAUCCCCCGCCGGGGCCGUGCAGAGGAAGACGAGGGGUUGGCCUUCGAUCGUGACGCCGGUUGAAGAAUUCAAGACCAACGUGGGUUGAGGCGGAUGGUCUGAAGGUGAAAGAAGAAACCCCAAAAUCGGCGGGUUUAGGGGCUCAGCUCUUUCGCCGACCCAGUUCCGUCUCCGUGGACCUCAACGGGGAGCUGAGGCGGUAAAUUUGGCUUCGCGACGUUCACAUUUCAGGAGAAAAAGUGCCCGUUUGGGGCUUGGAGGAAAGGACGUGCCGACGGACGGCGGCGGGAUGGAGAAGUCGAGGGGGGAGGAGGCAAAGGGGGCAACGUCUCGCCUACCUUUAACGCUGAGGAAGACGAAUUUGCUCUCCUGGGAGCGGACGGGUCGGCGGAACUGGUUGACGACGGUGUACGUGCAAGCGUGCGACCCCCCGUCCUUCGGCCCCGUGACGUUGAAGCGGGGGCCACGCAUCGGAUGGAGAUGGCAUCUCCGAUGAGAUACUCCGUUUUCUCCGGCGUCACGGUGAUGUUGGGAGGAGGAGGAAGGUCUGGGGAGGAAGGGUUUCGGGGCGGGGAGGAGGGGAGAACGUGAGUCUACGCGCCGCAGGUGGGAGCUGGGAGAUGUCUCCGAGCCUUUGAGGUGAGGUGGGACCUGGUUGGACGCGACCGCCGUCGCCUUGGUGCCAAGGUGGGGGAGAUCUUUUUGAGGGCCCCGAAUUAUUGAGGUCAAAAGAAGGUUUCCACCCCAAAAUGCUCCUCGAGGAGGGGCGGGGUUGGGUGGCCUUCAUGGGUUAUUUGUCCUACCAGAGCUAUCGACUGGGCCGAGAAGCCAAGCUUGGACCAGGUGGAGGAGAAACAACCCGAUUCACCUCAAAAUUGAUAUUUUGGUGGACGGAGGAGCUCAGGGAGGAGCAGAAACCACCCGAUUCUUCUCAAAAUUGGUAUUUUGGUGGCUGGAGGAGCUCAGGGAGGACCAGAUGGAGGAGAACCCACCCAAUUUACCUCAAAAUUGGUAUUUUGGUGGCUGGAGGAGCUCAGGGAGGAGCAGAAACCACCCAAUUCACCUCAAAAUUGGUAUUUUGGUGGCUGGAGGAGCUCAAGAGAGGAGCAGAAACCACCCGAUUCUUCUCAAAAUUGGUAUUUUGGUGGCUGGAGGAGCUCAGGGAGGACCAGAUGGAGGAGAACCCACCCGAUUCACCUCAAAAUUGGUAUUUUGGUGGCUGGAGGAGCUCAGAGAGGAGCAGGUGGAGGAGAACCCACCCGAUUCACCUCAAAAUUGGUAUUUUGGUGGACGGAGAUUUCAUCGCCUGGAUCGUCAUCGAGGUCCCGCCGACCCGUUGCGCCCACGGUCAAACCAACCGGGGGGUUUGUUCCGCCACGAGCCUCGUCGGCUCAGGUGGUUGGGUGACUCCCGAGCCUGGUGGCACGGCCGUCACAUGAGCCCGGUUGCUACGGAACGGCGGAAACCAACAGCGAAA